CGGCCCCCGCAACCAAUCACAAGUUCAGUUAAAAGACCCCAAUUUUGGGUUUUUUUAUACGAUAAAUUUGUUGUUUA
rnacentral:tRNA from 1 species